rnacentral:rRNA from 1 species
CCUACGGGAGGCAGCAGUGAGGAAUAUUGGUCAAUGGACGCAAGUCUGAACCAGCCAUGCCGCGUGCAGGAAGACGGCUCUAUGAGUUGUAAACUGCUUUUGUACGAGGGUAAACGCCGAUACGUGUAUCUUUCUGAAAGUAUCGUACGAAUAAGGAUCGGCUAACUCCGUGCCAGCAGCCGCGGUAAUACGGAGGAUUCAAGCGUUAUCCGGAUUUAUUGGGGUUAAAGGGUGCGUAGGCGGUCGGAUAAGUUAGCGGUGAAAUCCCGAGGCUCAACUUCGGAAUUGCCUCUGAUACUGUUGGGCUAGAGAGUAGUUGCGGUAGGCGGAAUGUAUGGUGUAGCGGUGAAAUGCUUAGAGAGCAUAAAGAACACCGAUUGCGAAGGCAGUUUACCAAGCUACGUCUGACGUUGAGGCACGAAAGCGUGGGGAGCAAACAGGAUUAGAUACCCGUGUAGUC